rnacentral:lncRNA from 1 species
GUGUUACGUCAACAGGUUAUGUAAUGGGAACAGCUAGCGUAGGGCUAAAUGUGCCAGGUUAUGUAAUGGGAACAGCUAGCAUAGGGCUAAAUGUGCCAGGUUAUGUAAUGGGAACAGCUAGCGUAGGGCUAAAUGUGCCAGGUUAUGUAAUGGGAACAGCUAGCGUAGGGCUAAAUGUGCCAGGUUAUGUAAUGGGAACAGCUAGCAUAGGGCUAAAUGUACCAGGUUAUGUAACGGCAACAGCUAGCAUAGGGCUAAAUGUGCCACGUUAUGUAACGGGAACAGCUAGCGUAGGGCUAAAUGUGCCAGGUUAUGUAAUGGGAACAGCUAGCAUAGGGCUAAAUGUGCCAGGUUAUGUAAUGGGAACAGCUAGCAGCUGAUGCUUAAACGUUUUAUAAUAGUCGUAAGUAUGGACCCCUGGGUUUUUGGAAAAUGGGCCGGGACACACCCAGACACGUUAACACGAACACGUCGACGUCUGAUUUACACGUGUGUGUGUGUGUCUCUGUGUGUG